rnacentral:rRNA from 1 species
UGUCAAAUCAUCAUGCCCUUUAUGACCUGGGCUACACACGUAAUACAAUGGCGAUCAACAGAGGGAAGCGAAGCUGUGAAGCGGAGCGAACCCCUAAAAGUCGUCUCAGUUCGGAUUGCAGGCUGCAACUCGCCUGCAUGAAGUCGGAAUUGCUAGUAAUCGUGGAUCAUCAUGCCACGGUGAAUACGUUCCCGGGCCUU